CAGGGAAUCUUGCACAAUGGGCGAAAGCCUGAUGCAGCGACGCCGCGUGGGGGAUGAAGGCCUUAGGGUCGUAAACCCCUUUCAGCAGGGACGAAAAUGACGGUACCUGCAGAAGAAGCCCCGGCCAACUACGUGCCAGCAGCCGCGGUAAGACGUAGGGGGCGAGCGUUGUCCGGAUUUAUUGGGCGUAAAGAGCUCGUAGGCGGUUGCGUAAGUCGGAUGUGAAAACUCAGGGCUCAACCCUGAGACGCCAUCCGAUACUGCGCUGACUUGAAUCCAGUAGGGGAGUGUGGAAUUCCUGGUGUAGCGGUGAAAUGCGCAGAUAUCAGGAGGAACACCCGUGGCGAAGGCGGAUCUCUGGACCGGUUCUGACGCUGAGGAGCGAAAGCUAGGGGGAGCAAACAGGAUUAG
rnacentral:rRNA from 1 species